UCUAUGUAGAGUUGAGAUUUUACCUUUUUUUUUUUUUUGAGAGAUAGGUAGCACGCUAUCCGUUUCGUUUAUUUUAUUUAGAAAUAAACUUAGCAAGAAAUGUGAAUCAACUAGGAUUCGAACUUGGGACUCGAUCGGAUACCAACCACCAAAUCUUUUGCCACUUGCUCUAAGGACGGUUGGUAGCUUUUUCAAUUAUAGGACAAGAAAAACUUUACAGAUACCCCUGUUUAAUCAAAAAAGAAAAACUUUACAGAUUUAUUGGUUGAUUUGCUUAUUAAUUAAUUUUAUUUUCUUUCAUAUAUCUUGUGUAGAGAAAAUGUUCUGAAAUGCUGCGCUAUUGAGUAGGA
rnacentral:lncRNA from 1 species